GACGAACGCUGGCGGCGUGCUUAACACAUGCCAGUCGAACGGAAAGGCCCUGCUUUUGUGGGGUGCUCGAGUGGCGAACGGGUGAGUAACACGUGAGUAACCUGCCCUUGACUUUGGGAUAACUUCAGGAAACUGGGGCUAAUACCGGAUAGGAGCUCCUGCUGCAUGGUGGGGGUUGGAAAGUUUCGGCGGUUGGGGAUGGACUCGCGGCUUAUCAGCUUGUUGGUGGGGUAGUGGCUUACCAAGGCUUUGACGGGUAGCCGGCCUGAGAGGGUGACCGGCCACAUUGGGACUGAGAUACGGCCCAGACUCCUACGGGAGGCAGCAGUGGGGAAUAUUGCACAAUGGGCGGAAGCCUGAUGCAGCAACGGCGCGUGCGGGAUGACGGCCUUCGGGUUGUAAACCGCUUUCGCCUGUGACGAAGCGUGAGUGACGGUAAUGGGUAAAGAAGCACCGGCUAACUACGUG
rnacentral:rRNA from 1 species